CGGACCCAUGCCCCCGUGCGUUGGAUCUGCUGACCAUCAGAUUUUUCCAAACCCUGCGCCGAAAAAGGAACAUCGGUACAACUGGGAGCUGGAAGUUACAGGAUCCCCAUGGAAAGGCAGCCCCUGGUGGUCUCAGCAGUAGCUACCUUACCGGAAAAGGCCAAGAACAAAAAAGGUGUCUGAGAUGCCUUCCCCUGGUUGAGAGAGACACCGGUUUAAUAUCUGAAUGACUCACCUGCGUGGAGCAGGCAGCAUCAUGGGA